rnacentral:rRNA from 1 species
AAUCAACGCUGGCGGCGUGCCUCAGACAUGCAAGUCGAACGAUUAAACUUUCCUUCGGGAAAGAUAUAAAGUGGCGCACGGGUGAGUAACACGUAAGUAAUCUACCUUCGGAUGGGGAGUAACAGUCGGAACGACUGCUAAUACCGCAUAAUGCAGCGGCACCUAAUGGUGACAGUUGUUAAAGUAUUUAUACGUCUGAAGAGGAGCUUGC